CUCCCAUGUGAACUCAAAAUUUCUACCUUUCUUCUUUUGUGAAAUAUAAUAACUAAUUAACUAAUAACCUACCAAGUGGAAGCCCCAGACAAGAGGGUACUAUGGUAAUCUGGAACCUUAGGAGUCUGGGGAGCCGUUGUUGCUAGAGAGGAACACAGUCUUCCUGCGGCAAGUGCCAAAGGCAAAAGGUUGUUCUCCCCUUGUCAAGGAAGGGGACAUGUGAGCUUCUGUCCACCCACAGGACUGGAGGUCUUCAACUGGGGGACAAUAAUGACUCCUCUACUAUGUCGCGGGUGUCCCUCCGAAUGAACAAUCCAGGAGAGGAGACAGGAGCCAGAAUGCAGCUCUCUCGACUGGCCUCAUUUUGCUGCAAACCUGGGGCCACAGGACACACCAACCAGUUGAGAUGGAUCCUUAGAAGUAGAACUUCUGGGCCAAGCAGUAAGCACAUUUUUAAAUGGAAGAGAUGUGCAUGUGAGGGCACCAUCCCAGCUCCAGACCUAGAGACCUUGAGAACACCAAACCACAGCAGGGACUGAGAUGACCCUGUUGCACCAGUGCCUGAUGCUGCUGUCCAGAACCAGCAGAAAACCAUGCAUGAGUGAUUCAUUUCGGCCCACAGAAAAGAUUUCCGUAUUAGAUCUCUACCAACUGUAGAUCUAUGACUACAGACGCAAGAUCACUAAGCCAUUGGCAGCGGAGUCCAAAACUUUACAGAAACCAAAAAAUGGUACUGCAGAGGCUGCAGCCCCUCCUGGUCUAAUGAACUUCGUGAUGGCGCUAACGGUGGUUUUGGAAGUUUCUUUGGAUUCCGAAAAGGAACUAAAUGGGCCAUCUCCUCCUCUCCAGAUGUGCUCCCUCUGAUGGAAGACAGGAAUUUCGUUUAGGGAUAAAUUUGUAUCUGUGGAUCUUUGCUUCGGUACCAUGAAGGUAAAUGCUGAAGGUGUUCCUGGGGGAGAAGACGUGUCCACUCUUAAGUUGAAGGCAAAGAAUCCUGCAGAAUGACCAGGCUGCUAGGUGGAUUCUUCUGUUCUGCUUUCUGUCUCUCAGACACUGCAGAGAACCUCGAUAAACAUCCAGAGCCAGCUUCAGGCAGCAUGAGCAUGACUGGAGGCUCUCUGGGAUGCUAUGGAUGAAACUAAUGAAAAGACUUGGGUGCUGGGGCCAGAAGACCCCACAUAGGGUGCAACAGUUGGUAGAAUUGCAGUUAAGUAGAGGGAAACAAACACAAGACAGAUUCCUUUUAGGUCUCUAAUUUUAUUUUGUUUUACUGAAGAAAAUGAAUCUAAACAGGAGAGCUAAAGUAUUGGCUGAGAUUUCUUCGUAAAAAGCCAACAUUGUAAGACUUCCUAUUAUAACAGUAUGAUGAGAUGAAAUACAAUUUAUUUCAUUACCUCUGAGAAUAAAAAUGUUCCCAUACUUCUAGGAAAUGACUAGUUGUUCUAUAGCCAUGGUAACAAAUAGUCAUCAGAACUUGUUUUAAACCUAUUUAAUUGUUCAGUGACAGCUUUGCACCAGUACACACAUUCCUGAAAGCCAGCCAGUCUAAACAUCAGUACCCAGCAACAGCUUCACUUCAGUAACCACUUCCACGGCUAAAGGCACACCAAUCCCAGAUGCUGCUACCUCUGAGAGUCCCCCAGCCCCCACUCUCCACAUUUUCCACAGCCCUAUAAAGGAUCAGCUCCCUGUGUUGCUCAGAAACAGACUGUGCCAUAACUCACAGCAUUCUCAUGCUACAGCUAGUAAUAAAUUCAGCCUUUUGUUUCAGAUAUUGUGUGGUGAUCUCUUCCUUUAACAUUUCUUAUU
ensembl:lncRNA